rnacentral:rRNA from 1 species
AGAGUUUGAUCAUGGCUCAGAUUGAACGCUGGCGGCAGGCCUAACACGUGCAAGUCGAACGGUAACAGGAAGCAGCUUGCUGCUUCGCUGACGAGUGGCGGACGGUGAGUAAUGUCUGGGAAGCUGCCUGAUGGAGGGGGAUAACUACUGGAAACGGUAGCUAAUACCGCAUAAUGUCGCAAGACCAAAGAGGGGGACCUUCGGGCCUCUUGCCAUCGGAUGUGCCCAGAUGGGAUUAGCUUGUUGGUGGGGUAACGGCUCACCAAGGCGACGAUCCCUAGCUGGUCUGAGAGGAUGACCAGCCACACUGGAACUGAGACACGGUCCAGACUCCUACGGGAGGCAGCAGUGGGGAAUAUUGCACAAUGGGCGCAAGCCUGAUGCAGCCAUGCCGCGUGUAUGAAGAAGGCCUUCGGGUUGUAAAGUACUUUCAGCGGGGAGGAAGGGAGUAAAGUUAAUACCUUUGCUCAUUGACGUUACCCGCAGAAGAAGCACCGGCUAACUCCGUGCCAGCAGCCGCGGUAAUACGGAGGGUGCAAGCGUUAAUCGGAAUUACUGGGCGUAAAGCGCACGCAGGCGGUUUGUUAAGUCAGAUGUGAAAUCCCCGGGCUCAACCUGGGAACUGCAUCUGAUACUGGCAAGCUUGAGUCUCGUAGAGGGGGGUAGAAUUCCAGGUGUAGCGGUGAAAUGCGUAGAGAUCUGGAGGAAUACCGGUGGCGAAGGCGGCCCCCUGGACGAAGACUGACGCUCAGGUGCGAAAGCGUGGGGAGCAAACAGGAUUAGAUACCCUGGUAGUCCACGCCGUAAACGAUGUCGACUUGGAGGUUGUGCCCUUGAGGCGUGGCUUCCGGAGCUAACGCGUUAAGUCGACCGCCUGGGGAGUACGGCCGCAAGGUUAAAACUCAAAUGAAUUGACGGGGGCCCGCACAAGCGGUGGAGCAUGUGGUUUAAUUCGAUGCAACGCGAAGAACCUUACCUGGUCUUGACAUCCACGGAAGUUUUCAGAGAUGAGAAUGUGCCUUCGGGAACCGUGAGACAGGUGCUGCAUGGCUGUCGUCAGCUCGUGUUGUGAAAUGUUGGGUUAAGUCCCGCAACGAGCGCAACCCUUAUCCUUUGUUGCCAGCGGUCCGGCCGGGAACUCAAAGGAGACUGCCAGUGAUAAACUGGAGGAAGGUGGGGAUGACGUCAAGUCAUCAUGGCCCUUACGACCAGGGCUACACACGUGCUACAAUGGCGCAUACAAAGAGAAGCGACCUCGCGAGAGCAAGCGGACCUCAUAAAGUGCGUCGUAGUCCGGAUUGGAGUCUGCAACUCGACUCCAUGAAGUCGGAAUCGCUAGUAAUCGUGGAUCAGAAUGCCACGGUGAAUACGUUCCCGGGCCUUGUACACACCGCCCGUCACACCAUGGGAGUGGGUUGCAAAAGAAGUAGGUAGCUUAACCUUCGGGAGGGCGCUUACCACUUUGUGAUUCAUGACUGGGGUGAAGUCGUAACAAGGUAACCGUAGGGGAACCUGCGGUUG